AAAUAGAAACUUAAACUGAUCUGAUAGCAGCUCUGAUAGAAACUUAAACAUAACGCAUCUGGAAUUAUUACGGUGAAGCAACAAGCAAGUCAAUAAAAUGCUUGUUAACCAGAAACUAAAAUAGGAAAGCAAGUUAACUUCCAGACUUCUAAAUUUUGUACGUAAGGAAUAGACUCAUAUCCAUGUUAAAUAUGACUUAAACCAGUAGGGUUCCUUGUGAAAUUAAAUACCACCUAGCAUUAGGAGUUUAUGUGCCUUAUAGAUUUAGGCAAUACUUACUACUUUCUAUUUUUAUUCUAGAACUGGAGUUACAUGAAACAGAACAGAAAUUGGCCUUCAGACUUGGUAUAAGUCUCACUGAAUGAGUUAGCAGAGGAGGAUUCAAUCAGAAAAUUAAAAAUGUCACCUUUGUGUGUCUGAUUUCCCAUUGUUUGUAUUAAGGGAUUCCAGGACAACCAUGCACACAAGAAUGAGGCCUCCAGUCUGACUUGGAACCGGGAUAUAUAUGCACACCUGCACAUGGCUCUGGGUGUGAAGUAAGGACACCAGGAACUGGUGUCAGACCCUUUGUCUAAGCUUGUUUUCAUGUGUGUCCCAAGACAUCGAAAGGUAAUAUUUGAAAUGGGGGUAAAUUGAAGAGAGAGA